rnacentral:lncRNA from 1 species
CCUAUCUACGACGGAAUUCCGUCGGAUCAAUACUAUUUUCGUGGGACUUAUUUCCAACAUAUUAAUCCGUCGAAAUUACACUACUUCCGAGGGAAUGUAGUCCGUCAGAAAUAAUUGCGUCGGAACUAAAACUUUUUCUUGUAGUGACUGUGUCACGUUAAUGAUAGUGUUUUGUGCCUCUUUGUUUGUUCUCCCCUAAUUGUGGAGAAGCUCUUUGUUUGUUCUCCCCUAAAUGUGGAGAAGCUCUAUUAUGCUCAAAGUGACUUGGUGAUUUAUUGGUGCAACUGAGUUGAAAAUUUCUAAGUUACUGUAUUUGGAAUUCACAUUAGGCACUUAUGCUGUUUAAAUUUCUACUAUAUUAUGUAAUAAUACUUUUUUGAUUAAUUCAUGAAACAUCCUAUAUGGUUAUGAUUAGGUUGGUGCCAUUGAAGGAGAUGAAGAGUUGACACCUCUUGGAUAUCAUUUGGCAAAACUCCCUGUGGAUGUAUUGAUUGGAAAGGUGUGCAUUAAACUAUUUUUUACCCUAUGAUUCUGGAAGGAAAGGAUUUUUAGUGUUUAGUUAUUGACUGCUAUUGAUGGAACUGUGUGGAUCCUUGGAAAUGAAUCUUUCUUCUAAUUUGUUUACUAGAAUAUUGUUUAUUGAAUCAACUCACUGAAAGAACCCUAACUUCUGAUUAGAAAUUUAUCUUUUUCUUGUAUUGAUUUCUCAUUCUUUUAAUAUGUCCAGAAAUUUAUUUUUAUGAGCUCAUGAAACAUGAAUGGUUCCCCAAUCCUUGCCCUUUCAAGAUCUUUCAUAGCUUUUUGGUUAUUAUCUUACUAAUUUAUUUCCUGUAGUUCAAGGUUUUCCUAAGGUCUAGUUGUUUCUCAGUUAUCUUUCUGGUUGAUUGUAUUUUAGUACUUCCUAAACAAGUUUGCUUGCCAAAUCUUGGUAACAUUCUCAUCAGCCUGCAGGCGUUUGACAUUUAUUUUCAAUUUAUGCUACUGGAUGCUUUUAUAUCUAUAACCAUAUAAUUUCCAUUUGUUUUAUUGACUUGUGGACCUAAUAUGGUACCAUACCAGACGUACCUCAGGUUCCGCACAACAAGGUUUUGAAAUUUUCGGAUCCAAAUUUCUAAAGUAAGAAAUGUCAUGCUACCAAUUUUAUUACUUCCUCUACCCCAAUUUAAACGCAUCAGUUUUCAUUUUGGAAUGUGCCAAAAUAAGUCAUGUGAUUCGACACAAACUCUUCUUUUUAUCCAUCUAAGGGCUAUAGUUCAAAGUAGAAUAAUCAUUACUCUGGUCGUCCGAUAAUGUGUUUAUCAAAGCCACCCACUUAAUUUUGGAUGAAGAGAGUAUAUUUUUCCUCUUGCAUGGAUUUGCCUCUUCUGAUAUGUAGAGUCUAUCUUGCCAUUCUAUCAUCUUUACAGAUUUUGAGCGUACCUUUGGGACAACUUACAAAUUGACCAUUUGUUUGUUUGUCUUCUCUCCAUCGGAACAAGAGGGCCGUUAUGCUCAUUACUAAACUUGUUGAAGAGAUGAAAUAUAACCAAGGUAUAUCUUUUUGAUCAGAGGUUGAAUCGAUCAUCAGAAGAAGAAUUAGGCCAAACAUUAGGAUACAUUCUGGGAAAAUCAAACUUCCAUCGAAGAGAAGCAAAUGAAAGGCUUUCAUAAAAAU